rnacentral:lncRNA from 1 species
AUGUUUAACUGAUUCUAUAUAUGUUGUGUGGUGCGAAGCUUGGGAGAACUUUUUCUGCAGAAGUCCGCAGGCCCUUCCGGCAAAGCUUGUCAGUUGACAUUUUCGUUUUGCAUGGUGAGUUGUUUUAGGUUGGCAAUUGUUACUUGUCCGAUCCAGCAAGGAGUCUAUGCUGAAGUGCUGCUUUUGCAGGAAAAAAUAGAUGAAUCAAGAAUGCUACUCCUCACCCACUAAUGCUUCCUAGUGUCUAAUUAUUUUCUGUCUCUGAAAUUUAUCUAGUCUUUCCCCCCUGUAACCAAGCUAUGUCCUACUCCAAAGAAUUGAUACUUGAUUUGUUAGAAAAGAUGAUGUUAAUUUUCCUACCCAUUAGACUUUUGGAUAAUAUUCAAGAAAUAGGUGCUUUUCUCCUUGGCUUUUGUAGGGUUUUUCUCUGAAAUUUAUUUAUUGAUUUGAAAAUUGUGGGAUCAUAAUUUAUGUUGAAGUUAACUUAUCAUAUGUGAUGCCCAACUAAUUUGGUACCCUGAAUGAGUUUAUUGAGGAUACAAUAAUGUUCUUUAGCAUUGUUUCUUUCUAAUACAAUUCCACCAAGUGGAGUGGCUCUAAACCUAUUUAGAUGGGUGUCAAAUGUCAAUAAUGGCUUAUUGCAAAUCCUUGUUUGGGAAAGGUACAUAAGUGCUGCCAAAUGUAAACUAAUAAAACACCAAAUUCUAUGAAUCUACAAGGUUAUGGAUAUUUGGCUCCUAUCUGGAUUUAUUAUUUUUAGGAGUUUUUAUAGAAAAAUGUACUGUAAUGAUUUGAUAUAUGUGAGGUAAAAAGAAAAGUGAAUAGAAAAUGUGUUAAUGAAAAAUGUAGAAAAUUUUUGUACAGAAAACUAUAAUCUAAACAAAGAGGAAUCAUUUAUCUAAAACUUUACUCAAUCAAUCCAACUUUUCAAAUGUGGUCAAAUCCAUUUGCAACAUUGACAAUUAUUACAAUGGAUUUGGGCAACCAUUGAAAAUAUGGUCUAAUUGAGUGAUCCAAUUGCACAUAUGUGUUAUCAGUCGAUGGAUGUGGGUCAUGAUACACAUAUGUGUAUCACACAGCUUUAUGUUUAGUUACAAUAUUUAACAUUUUCAUAUUUUCUUUUACAACUCGUUUUAUUGGUGCACGUAUGAUAUUGAAAGAGAAAAGGUGAGCGUUAAAUUUACAAAAUAUAUAAUGAUUUAAAAUUUACUUUUACAUAUAUAAGUGACAUGUAUAUACAUUACAAAAGAGAUAAUUAGAACUUUGGUAUCAAAUGUUUGAGCAUCGGCGGUUUUAGUCUUUAAAGUAUUGACAAAAACAAAUCUAGUUCUAAGUAUUUUAAUUUCUAAACACAUUUAGUCCAAUUAACUGAUUUUGGCAAUUUAUUACUGGAAUUCGGUUACAUCAGUAGUAAGUGUCGGCAGCUAAAUUUUCAAAAAUUAGAAAAAAAUGGAAAAAAUGUUGGUGGCCAUAAUUUGUAAUUAAAAGGCACUAAUUAGUUGCAAGAUGAGUAAUUAGUCUUUACUAUUUAGCUACAUGACUAUUGUGCAAGCGAGUAAUUAGUGCCCUUUAAUUACAAAUUAUGGGUUACAAACAUUUUUUUUUCUUUUUUUCCUAAUUUUUUCAAAAUUUAAUCACCGACACAUGCUACUUAAGUGACCGAAUUCCAGUAUCAAUUUGUCAAAACUAGUAAAAUAUGCUUAGAAAUUGAAACGUUUAGAACUAGAUUUGCUUUCGUCCAAACUUUUAAGGACUAAAACUACCGAUACCUCAAACAUUUGAUACCAAAACUGUAAUUUUCUCGAUAACAAAAUCUUGUUCAAAAUAACUGAUCAUACUAGUUAUGGGUUCUAAUAAAAAUUGUGAUUUCAUAAGCAAAAGGUAGUCUAAAUGUGGAUGGUUUGAGUUGUAAUUUUUAUUUUGGCAAACUAAGGGCCUAAAAGAAUUGCAGAAGAAUUCAUAGAAAGGAUGUGCCAAAUGGCAAACUAAUAAAAACAUCGUAAUCUAAAAUCUUUUUUCUAUGAAAGGCGUGAAUAACGAACAUAUAUUGAUUCAUCUACAAUACGCAGCACUUUGAACUACGAGACCUGCACCAGAAUAGGCCCCAACAAAUAAAAAAUAAAACAUGUCUGGUCACCUGUCAAAAUUGCUCUUGACAAAGAGAAUAUCCAAUCCAUGUAUUCGAAUAAGUUGCUUUGAGACUUAACAGUCUCGACUGAAGUCUUAUAAGGAAAAUCCUUGACCGCCAGAUGAUCAAAAGCAAACACAUCAAACAAAAGAAAAGUAGAAUUGCACCAAGUAAUGCAACAUUCCUACUCAAAAUGAUGAUCCUCCUCAAAGCUGCAGAAAUGGCACUUCUUCAUCAAGCCUUCUUGAAGGUCAGUACAUUUUCAUUUGUACCCAUUUCUGCAAAUUUCAUGAUUAAUUUGAUGUGCAAUUUGAAUUGUAUUUUUUUCACCUCUGAUUAAUAUGUAUUGCUUCCUUUAUUUGUGGUUGCUCUUCUCCUAUAUUAAGUGAUAAAUAUUCUCCUGCUAAUGUUCCUCUUGGGAUGCUUCUGCAAAUUCACCAUUACUUGUAAAUUCUGGAGAAUUUAGAGAAUCGUAAGGAGUUCUACUUCCUCAUUACAUGGAUUUUCUGUCUGAACUCAGUAAGUGCCUGCUGUUUAGCUUGUUUAAAUACUUUGAUGCAUGUCCUAUCCCAUGAUUCUUACCUUGGGAAACCUCAAUGAAUGGUCUUCCUCUAUCAGUGUCAUGCGUUAAAAUUCGCAGAUUCUACUGAAAUACAUUGAACUUGAUUCUUGCGUUGCGAGCACUCGUAUUUCGAGUCCCGCUGCCAGCUAAAGCAGUUUAGUUGUUGAUCUAUAAGAGCCACUGUUAGCCGCCUUGGUGUACCUCUAGCAUGCCUUGGCCUUAAAAUGAGGUGACCUUCCUCUCCUGCUAAAAUUUUUCUUGUCAAAAUAACAGAAGUACGUGUUAUUGAUACAAGGGAAACUGAUGAUUGAGGAUGCAUUAAGUUAGAAUUUCUCACACCACCCCUCACCCAUAAGAAAAAUGCAAAUAAAAAAGAAGAAGAAGAAGAAAAGAGACAGCUCAAAACAGUGACACUAGCCAAAGAGAUAUUGUCUCAUUGGAAGGAGAGUUCGAUGACUUGUAACUGUUCAUGGUAUUGAAAUUUGACAUUCAUAUUUAAACUCAAAAUGCUUUAAUUACAGUGAAUUGGAAAUAUACAUGUUAUCUACACGAAGAAUCAACUUCCUAAGGUAGUGAAAGUUGAAAUGGAGAGAUAUUAUGCUACAAGUUUCCUUGUUGAGGAGGCAAUUGGUUAUUUGAACAUCUUCCGUUUCUGGACCUAAUGCUUAGUCUUUAUAGUAAACUAUAUUCCUGAAGGUUUUUCAGGAAGGUCUCUCCAACAAGGGAACCAUCCUUGACAAAAACAGCAGGAUUCCCUAUUGGAGCUUCUAUCCAAGCUUCAGUACCCUGUGAAUACAGGUUUCCUGUCCAAAUGUGCUUCCACAAGCAGCUUUCUCCAACUGGGAAAUAAGCCUUCACAGUUCCCUUCCCCUUGUCAAGAACAGGCACAACUAGGAUCUCGGUACCAACUAGAAAUUGCUCAUAGGUGAAGCUGUGAACACGUUCAUCAUCUGGAUAGUGGAGGAAUAGAUGGCGACAUACAGGUAGACCUUUUAGGGAGGCUUCCUGUAUAUACAGAAGAAAAGAUUAACAUUUGGGUGUUUUGGCUAAAUGAAAUUUUAAGGCAAGUUUAAAAUAUCUGAGAAUCACCUUUAUUAGUUGAACCCUGUAAAACUUCCAGGCUUGAUAUAUUUUUGCUAAGCGUGCGAAAUGUGACAAUGUUUUGUGGUUUGUGUAGAACAGGCUGUUGCAGGAUGGCUUGUUUCCCUGAUUGCAUAUAUGCGAACCACCAAAAUUAUUUUGUUAGAAUAUGCAAUAGUCAAACAAAGUACUACUGUGUAUUUUGGUCGCUUUAGGUGGAAGUUUUUUACUUACUUCAUGUGUUCGGAACACAGUGGUGAAUGCAUUUAGCUCCAUCCACCGCAAGAGCAAUUCUUCACUUCUUCGGUAUUUGAAAAAUGGUAAAUUUACUGAACAGUAGCCUCCGAUGUCACUAUGGUUCAAGGCAUAGCCAGAAAUUCCACCACUCAGCAAGCCAACCACUGAGCUUUUUAUGCCAUCGUUGGUUUGCCAGCUUACCAUUUGAUCCCCUUCCCAGAACAGCAUUGCCCAUCUGGGGCUGUCCCUGAACCCAGCCCUCAUAAAGAAAACCAACCCAUCAUCUUGGCCUUGCUGUUCCUUUGUACCAUGACUAUGAGAAUUUCGCCACUCGUCCACAAACUCCCUGUUGAGUUUGGCCCAAAGCUCUGGAUACCUGUUGUGGGCAGCCACUGGAUCUUCACCUGGAGAAAAAGUGAAUUACCAUCAUCAAAUUGGCGAGCUAUUAUUCAUUUACAUGAAUACAAAGUUGCUUGAUAAAGUACCUUGUGCUGAGUUUUGCCUACCAGUAUUUGGUUGAUAAUCACACAGGCCAAUUUUCCUUUCUGACAAAUAACUCUCCAGUAUUAUAUAUUUAUAUUAUUUUCUGACUACUUAACACAUUGACCAGCAGAUUUUGUCAUGCCUUUAGCAAAUUCUCAAAUAAAAGUUUGACGACUUUUGCUGUCUUGGUAUAUCUUGUUCUUCUGAAGAUUUAUUCUUGUAGACAUAUGCUUUUUUCCUAUGUGCAUUAUUACUCUACUUUCAUCGGUCUUUCAAGUCAAAGGAUGUCAAAGGAAAAGAUAGCCAUUAUGAUCUUAGCAUUUUCAGUCCAGAUGGCAUGAUGUCUCUUUGUUUCUUACUCUAUAUCUGAAUUUAAUUAAACUAUCAAGUGGCCCUAACAUCUCUUGUAAUGAGAAUUUUGUGUUCAACCUGAAUAUAGGUGAGCAUCUACCGGAAGGCCUUCACCAAAAUCUGCCAUCCACCCCCUGACUCCAUCAUCCACCAUGCCUCGCAAAAUCUGCUUAAACCAGCUUGCUGUUGAUGGAUGUGUCAAAUCCAACAUUCCCACAUCAAAAGCUGUAUUUGGAACCAUAUAAGGUUCUCCAUGAUUGUCUUUUAUUAGUAUGUCCAACUUCUUUGCCUCCUCAUAGAGAUUUCUCCUGACAUUAGGUUUGUUAUCCAUCUGCAUCAGUGAAAAGAGUUCAAUUUUAAAAUGCCAUAAUAGAAUCUCAAUCCAACUGGAGGACUGGUACAAAAUCACAUAAUAUUGUACCAUUUACCAGAAUCUGUAAAGAGUAUAAUAAUGAAAGGAUAUUUAGUUACCGGAGCUAGACAAGGAUUGCAGUACGUCAUCACAUUGAUGUGUUGAGUCCUAAGAUCUUUGAUUAGUUUCUGCCAUCCCAUAUACCUUGCAGAAUCUACCUCCCAGUUCCACCAUAGUUGUGAGCCUAUCAAUGUCUCCCUCUGCCCUACCCAAUCCUGCAGGAGGAUAAAAUGUAAGAUUACUAAUAUAGGGUUUCCCAUGUGUCAAUUUCCAUAUUACUCUGUCUAGCCUGCAAAGUGCAAGCUAUGAAGAUUCCCAACUCGAAAUCUGAUCAUUAGUGGUAGAAGACAUUAUGAAGUCAUCAUCAUAAUAAUUGUUGUUCGAGGUGAUUCUUUACCUGUAACCAGAAUGCAGAUAUUGGUACAUUGUAGGCCUGUAGCUGAUUCCAAACAUUGUGCACGGCAUCUGUUCCACCUUGCAUUCCCACAACUGCACCAGAUAUUAUCCACUCAGGAAGUUCCGGAGGUCUUCCAAUAGUUUCUGUGAAGUUUUCGAUCAGCUCAGUUGGUGAAUUGCCAUGCAAUAUCCUACCUUGAACAGAGUCUCCAUUGAUCUAAGAAUUACCAAAAAGUUUAGGCUGUUAACUCCUCUAAAUUUGGGAUGUGAAUAUUUAAUUGGCCCGAGAUGCACUGAGAGUAUCAUGGCAGCCUGCAACUGUUUAACAGAUUCUGAUAUUGCACUAUCUAUCGAAAUCUAUGCUGCUAUGAUGUGCUUUUGUACAACCUAUACUACAAAUUCAGAAAGUUGACCACUUAAUGGUCAUAAAUUGGAACACAUCAGAGCAUUUAGUGAGCUUCUUCUGAAUAGGUUCCAUAAUUUCCAGCAUCUUUGUUGAUGCUAACUCCUCAGACUGAGUUUGAUUUGACAAGGUGAAAUCACUUUCUAGAAUUGAGGUUAAGUUGAAUUGGUGUUUCAAGGCGUAUGUCGAUUUUCAAGAAUGUGAACUGGAUAGAUGACAUGAUCACUUUGCAAAGUAUUUAAACAUUACCUGUAUUUGAACUCUAUCAUGCUUUGUUAGGUCAAAGACUGAAUAAUUGUAUCCUUCAAGGUAAAGGGACCUCAUCUUUGAUGUCAUAUAAAAUGGAGAAGGAGCAUAAGUUGUACUCCAAUCACCCCCUGCCCUGCAUUUAUUUCAAAUUAUCUCAAUCAGACAUAGCUAGCCAUAGAUUUUGGUAGUUAAAAAAAAAAAUUGCAUUUAACUCUUACCUGUAGCUUACCAAGUUGGCUGCAAAUGUGAUUGGUUGAUCUCCUCUCCCAAUUCCCUGUUCUUGAACGAAAAUUGGUACUCUUUUUCCUUUCAAAUUCAUAUGAGAAAACUGCUCUCCAAAACCAUAAAAUCUCUCACUUCUUUCACUUUCAUAUGUCAGCCAAAUUCUGUUGAAGUCUGUCAAUCUUGCAGCCUUCAUUACUACAUUUUCCUCGUCUGAUGAUGAUGAUGAAACAGCUAGACACACUUUCCUCUUCGAGCAGAAUCUACUCCAUCCAAUUCUGCGUCUCCGAAUUCCAGUUAACUUCCUGGCAAAGCCCUUGUAGAUUUUAGGAGAAACUCUUUGGCGAAGUUCCACAUUUGGUUUCCCCAGCCUCACUUGAAAUCCAACUUGAUUACCGUUCUUCUGAUCAAACAAAAUGCAGUAUUUUGCAAAAAUAGAACAGUCCUCCGAAUUACCUGCGGUGGAACUGCUUUUAGGAUCUUGAACUUUCUUAUUCCAUUUCUUUGAACCGAUAAUCUUUCCUGUCAGCAUCAAAGCAGGGGACUGACGACCAUUUUCUGCCAUUUUUGUGGCAUUUCCACCACAAAACGAUGGAAGAUUUUGAUCUGUCACAUCAACACUGACAUCAGAAUCGUCCACUACUGCCCUAAUACAAUCAAUUGUUUGAUGAUUACAUACCACAUGAACCUCAUUAUCUUUGACAAGAAAUGAUCCUCUGCUCUCUUCCACCUCAGUUUCUGCAACUGCUGCAGACACAAAAGCCUGUCCUGGAACACUAGACCAUAUGUGUCUUGCAGGCUGAGACUUAUGAGAUAUUGAAAGAGAGCCUCCAUCCGUUGAUGACCAAUUCACCUGAAAAUCUUUACCAAUGUCAAAGAUCUGGUGUGAAGGAAGUGUCUGCGAAUUAAAGAACAGUUUCCCUUCAACAAAAGGGCCAGACUGUGGGGGAGAAUUGAAGGGAUUGUUUAGGUGUUUGUGAUGUUUCUUUGUGAUUUUGAGUGUGGCCAUUUUGGAAUUUGAAGAAUGGAUAUACUAUUCAUUCAUUGGACCAUGAAUAUUUUAUAGACUGAAGAUUUGAUACGCGGAAACAUUGGAUUGUCGCAGUUAACAGUAAAACUUCUAGAUUCUGCAGGCAUUUUUUUGGAUUGAAGAAUAGUAGUAUUCAUAGACUAUUAUAUAUUGGGAAUAGUAGGAAAACUCUGAAAGGUCAAUAUGCACUUAGGAAUUGGAAGUGGAAGUUUUGAGGAAAAAGUGGCAUUUGAAAGUCAUAAUUGGGUCCCCCGAAGGAUGAAAAUCUCAUAAUUAUGCGGUCAACUUGCGCAGCCAAACGAUAAUUUGUUUGAAUUGUAUUUUUCUGGAUUUUUUAUAAAAAAAUUAGUGUAACGAUUAGAUAUAUGUAAAAUAAAAAAAUGAUUGAAAAUAUGUCUACAGAAAAUGUAGUAGUUUUUCAAAGAAAAAUUGUAAUCCAAACAUACCCGAAGGAUGAAAAUGUCAUAAUCCAAAGUCAUAAUUGGAUCCCUCGAAGAAUGAAAAUGUCAUAAUUAGGGAGGUUGGUCAACUUGCAUAACAAAAUGAUAAGGUUUUGUUUCGAUUGCAUUUUUCUGAACUUUUUAUAGAAAAAUUACUGUACCUAUUUGAUAUAUGUGAGAUAAAAAUGUGAUUGGAAAAUGUGUUCAAGUUUUUUAUACAUUGUCAAUGGAUAAAUUUUUAUACAUUAGUUGGGUUUGACUGUUGCUAUAUAAUAUAAGUUCAAAUUUAAAAUUUAAAUCAUGCACAUAUGUUAUAUGUUCAUAACUGCUUCUGUGAAAAAAUUAAUAUACUGUUGAUGCAUAAAAAGUUAAUCCAUAAUGAAACUAGUUAAAUUUGGUCCCUUGUGGGCAAAUUGGUCUUUCUAUAAUGCUGCACAAGUUGAGAAAUUCUAUUUUGAGUUUUGUGUGAGAGUGGAUAUAUUUUUUUUCAAUUUUACUUAAUUUAUUUUCUUUACUAAAUCAUGGAAAUUUGUUAUGAAAUUAUUCGGUUCUCCUCUUUACUUAAUCGAGAAGUAUUAAACUUUUAAUCUUGAAAGGUACCGAAAUAGCUUAUUUAGUGAACAAUUUUAGAAUGUCUAUAGCAAAUGCAAUCUAUUAAGGGGAUAAGAGUUAAGUUCAUUGAAAUUGCGUAGGCCAAGAUGUAAAUAGAUUAAUUCUGCAUUUAUUAAAGAAGAUAAGCCUUGGAAUCGUCCUAGUAAUAUUAUACCCAAAGCUUUUUUUUUUUUUUUUUUUUUUUUAGUGUAAGUAGGAGGACUCGAACCCGAGACCUCUUGCUUACACUCCCUCCCCCGUACCACCCAACCCAUCCCUCCCCCCAUAUUAUACCCAAAGCUUAGAUUCAAUGUUGGUUGAAACAAACGUCUUUGGAUCUUGAUUUUUAACAUUUUUAUUUUUAAAAUAUUUCUCUAAAGGAAGCAUAAUAUUUUUCAUUAUAGUAUGAAUAUGAUUAUUAGUGCAUAAACAUUAAAAAAAAAAUUAAUUGGAUUCCUUAUUCUGUUGGUUGGUGCACUCAAUAUACAUCUACAUUAAAUGUAUAUUCCACAUUUUUUAAAAAUCCAAUUUAACUUUAUCUUUUUCAAAAAACUCCCUUCAAUUGGUGGAUUUUGCCAUUUUGUGAGGGAGAUUUAAAAGCAGAAUUUGCAUAAAAACACUCCAAAAAUGGGUGGAAAACUAGCAAAAAAAUACCAAAACAAGUUAACGUCAUAAAUGAAAAUUUCUUCUUUUUUCGUUUGUUUCUUCAUUGCGCGUGAGUGAUUUAGUUUAAAAGAAAGUGAGCAGCAUCAAGUGGAAGGCCCUUUCUUCCGAAUGUGAGUGUUUCUUCCGUGUAUAUAUACACAUAUACACAUAUAUAUAUAUAUAUAUAUGCAUAGAUUCGACUAGGGGUGUCAACGGGUCGGAUUUGGACUCGAAUCGACUCGAUCUGAUGAAUUUUUCCGGAUUUGGGUUGAAAAAUAAUUCCGAUACCCAGACCUAGAUUUGGACCUGUUUACUCUAAUAAAAAAUGGGUCAGAUAUGGAAUAUAAGAUUCCGACCCAGACCCGAACAAUAUAUUAAUAAUUAUAAAAUAUAAAUAUUUCUAAAUACAUUUUUUUACGAAAUUAAUAAUUUAGCAAUAACUUUGUCGAUUGAUUUGUAGUUAGAUUGGAUUAACUAUUGCGAAUUAUUUGUGAUUUAGUUUUCUAAUUUGAUUUGUUUAAGUUUGAAGAUUGGAUCUGUGAUUGAUUUUGGAUUUAAUUUUAAACUGUUUAAAUUUGGACAUUUUCUUUCUGGAUAGACCCGAAUCUGACCCAGGACCCGUUAGACCCGAUUCCGAAACUCUAUGAUCAAAACUCGUUAAGUAUAUCUGUCGGGUCCGGGUCUACUACAUAAAAAUGGGUUUGAGUCAGAAAUUUUCAAUUUCGACCCGAACCCGAUCUGUUGACACCCCUAGAUCCUACCAUCCGGCUAGAAAUUAUACCACUCGACGAAAUCCCCGGAUUUGGACGUGUAUAUAUAUCUCUCUACACACACCAAAACAGCAGAAAAAAAUGAAGGCCCUUAAUGCGCAAGCCCAACCUUUACUUGACAACUAUGAAUCUAGACGGGUUUUGAAGGAAUAUUCACUUGCAUAUAUGAUGAUGCAUGCAGACGUGAUCCGGUCUUGAACAAUUCCGUGCAAGCAAGCUUUAAUUAUUGCUAUAUCUUCCAAUACUUGGAAAACAGAUAUAAAAACAAGAAAGACUUGGAAAAUUGGUUUUGAGUAACGAUGGACGUACAAGUAACUAUAUUAGAAAAUUUUGUAUACUCUUUUAUUUUAUAUUUUGUUCUUUCGCAGUUCAAUAUUCGAUCUUUUGUUUACUUGAUUUUCAUGCAAACCAAGUUAUCGAUCCAAAUAUAUGUCCUUCGCAUAUAUUUCUCAUAUAUAUACACAGUGUUAUAUUGUUAUUUCAAGGAUUAGUGACUAAUUAUACAUGUGCGUGCACGCGCGCACACAGUAAAAUUUAUCUGCAAUUCAUUGAUUUUCCUCAAACUAUUAUUGCUAAGAAAUUGCUUGUUUAGGAUUUAAUAAGACUCUAUUUAGAUGGUAGAAAAUGAUAAUAUUAGUUUUGUUCGGAUUGAAGAUUAUUUGAAAAAAAUAUUUAUAUCAUUCACUAUAACCCUUUUUAUGAAUUAGUUAGUGUUUUUUGAUAAAAAGGUGGUUGGAGUUGCCUAAUUGGAAAAUUUAAAGAGAAAAGUCAUGCUGUUCAUUUUCAAUUAUUAUUGGCGAAUGAUUGAAUUGGAUGAUAAGGUGGAAAUGUUUGUAAAUAGGAGAUUUUGUAUUGAGUUGCCUUUGUAGAUCCUGGCAAAGUAUUCUUCUAUUCAGAUCUGGCAUUAAUUCAAUAUCGUGCGCAACUAUGUUUGAUUAGAGUUUUGGACCUAUUAUAUGGUUGAAUCUGGCAUGAAUAUAGGUCAUGUUCAUGCAUGCUUAUUUUCUACUCAAAUUUUGUUCUAUAAUUCUUCUUUGCACACAACAUUUCUGAGGUCAAAUACUCAGCAUUAUUUGCAUACAGUAGGAUCCAACUAUUAAAACUGAAGCAACAUUGUCCUUAAAAUAUAUUUAAAACGUCUAUUUCUAAUUGAUUCUAAAGUUUUUAUAAAAAGUUGGUUUUUUUAAAAAAAAAAUGCCAAAAUGAGAAUCCAAAAAGUAGGUAUCUUGUAACUACUGAUUUCUUUUAUGGGUCUAAAUUUACCCUUUUAUACAAUUUCAUUUUGCAGCAUUGUAUUGCCAUUCAAUUUACUCUACAAAAUAUGGUGAAAUGCAAUUAAAGUUUUUUUUUUCAUAUAUUGAAAAUCACAACGGAAAAUGCACAGCCUCUUAAAUGCUCUCUUAAUUUACUAAAGCAGUACUUUUUUCCUCGUUUUUUUGUGUUGCGGGGGGGGGGGGGGGGGGGGGGUUUAGAAAUUGAGUUCUUUUCAUGCACGUGCACGGUAUACAAUUUGGCUAAUUCUUCUGUGAGCCUACUACAAUUUUGUGAAUGUUCCCAUGAUUUGGGUGCUGUUCCACUGUCCUGGAGGCUGCUUUAAUGAAUCUGGUCGUACCCAUGUUUAAGAUUCCAUCUUCCAGAUACGUACGACAGUGCUUCUUCGUAUCCAUUUUGAGUUUAAACAAGUACUAUUAUUUGUUUUCUUUUUUUUUAAUAAGAAAAAAGUUAUCGAGGAGGGGGGAGUUAUUCCCUUUCAGAGCCACAGUAGGUUACCAUAUGUUAAAAACAAAUUAUAAUAGUUCAUACAAAUUACCUAUCAAUAAGAGCUUGUAGCAAUCAGACUCGAAUAUUACUUCUGCUACAGAGAUAAUUUUACAAACUUCUUCUGAGAUUUAUGGAAAUAUCAUCUAACUUUUAAAAUCUUUUUUUAUCUCUCUUCAACUAACGAUGGGAUUGGAUGUCACUAUCGAAGAGGAUGAAUUGUCAAAAAUAACCUCACUCGUCUAACAAUUAUCUAGGAAAACUAUUUCUCCUGACAAAGUGUACUAAUACUUGAAAAAUUAUUAUUAUUAUUAUUAUUAUUUUGUAGAAUUGUUCUCUUCUUCUCUCUUUUUCAAAGCACUAGGGAAGCUUCCAAUGAAAGAAGACAAAAUCUUUCAUCUGGUGAUAGGCUGAUCUUGGUUAAGUUGGAGUCGAAGUUUGAUUUGCUUACUUUACUACAGAAGAGAAAAAAAACUUGAGCAUGUUGUUUCUAUAAAUUUUGGUUUCACAAGUAAUAGGAGACCUUAAUGAAUCCUAGUAUGUUUGUUGAUUCAUAUAGUAUGAAAUAUGAUUAUAUUCAACUUUAUAUAGUGUUUAUUUUUCAUCAUGAAAAGUAGAUACGUAAAACAUAUGAAAGGUGUAAUUUUUAGGUCCAUAUCUUAUGUUCAUUUAGAGAAAUAGCAGGGAUCAUACCGUCAUAGUUGUGAUUUGGAGAAAUACUAGAUGAUUUAGGAUGUGAUUUUUAUGUUCAAUAGUGAUGGAGUUAUACAUGAUUGCUCAGCAAUUUUUUUGAACCCUCUCACCCACAAGGGCUAGAUAUAGGGUUUGAACCCUAAAUUUGAAAGUGUAGAAGAUUCUAAUUAAGAGCCCUCAUCCAUCCAUUGGACCGACUCAAGUGGUUUGAAUGUUGAUUGUAUCAACUUUCCUUCUUAUUACACUUACACCCUCUCAAUUUUAUUCAUAUCAUUUGUACCCUUAUUCUCUCCAUUUUUUUGUUGAUAAAAUGUUCUUAAUGGUACAAAUAAAGGGAAGUUAGUGAAACAAAAUAUUUUCUCACCUCUAACAUGCAUUUUUUAGAAUUACUUUUAUUUAUCUCACCUCUAACAGUGUUAUCAAGAUAUCAUUUAAAGAAAGGUAAAAGAAAUUCUCAAAAUUUCAAGGGAUUUUAGUGAUAUCUUCAGAGACCUCAGUAGAAGUUUGUGAAAUUAUCCCAUUUCUAGUUGUUUCUACUUAAAGUUUAGUAAUUCUUUUUAGGGUUAAAUGCAAAAAACCCCCACAAACUAUAUACCCAGUUGCAGUUUACCCCAUAAACUAUAAUAAUACGCAAUUUGCCCCCUUGAAUGAUAUGUUUGGACAACACUACCCCUACUAUCUUAAAUCCUUUCUUCUUCUUUUUUCUCUAUUAGAUUUUUUCAUUUUUUCCUUUUAUUUAUUUUCUCCUUCUCUCGUGGAACUAGCCAACGUCUCUCUCCGAUGUGAAAAGACUUACAUCAAAAAUUUUAAUAUUUUUUAAACUGCUUUUUUAAUUUGUUUAUUUGUUAAAUUCAUUCUUAAUAAUUUGUCAUAAACUCUUUAUUAUUACAAAAUAUAUGAAGCUUAUAUUGUAAAGUGUAUUAAUCUAGUAAUUCAACAAUUUAAGUAACUAUAAACUAAUUAAGAGUUCACAGUUACUCAACUACUUAUAAUAAAAGUAACAUAUUAUAUAUCACAUAAAAAAGAAAAGUUAGCAAUUGUUAUUUGUAGUGAAAUAAAAAAUAAGAAUAAACAACAAUAGUAGUUCAUUUUUUUUUAUUGAUACUACUAAUAAUUGAUUAAUCAAUUUCUCUAUUUUGUUGUUAUAUAUUUGAAAAGUUCAAUUUCUUAAAUGACAUUGACUUCAACAUUUGGACAAAAAAUCUUGUAUUCCAUAGAUUUUUUUUUAUAAAAUAUUGACAUACAAAAUUAAGAAAUAAACAAAUUUUGACUAAUCUAGUCUACUUAUUUAAACAAUGUUUAAAGAAAAAAAGGAAGAAUUUAAAAAGAAAAUGAUAGGGAAAAAAGAAAAAUAACAAUGCUUAAAAUAAAAGGGGUAGAUUUGUCCAAACAUAUCAUUCAAGGGGGCAAAAUGCCUAUUAUUAUAGUUUAGGGGGUAAACUGCAAUUGGGUAUUUAGUUUGUGGGGUUUUUUGCAUUUAACCCUUCUUUUUAUUUGCCUUUCAUAAGAUCAGUUACAAUACAGUUAAUGGUAAAAAAUGGUUAAAGUGUUUCAAUAACCGUAAAAUAUCCUCCCAAUGAAGUUGAUCAGUGGAUAAAAAUAACAAAUAGACCCAGUUGGAACAUUUCUUCAAAAUCGCUAUUGAACUUGAGGUAAUUUCAUAGCUUUAAUGUAUCUAGGUACCUACUAAUAUAAAAAAUAUUUAAGAGGAAUUGAGGUGUUAAGUUUUUGAUAAAAAACAGAACUAAUUUGAGAAAACGACUAAGGUCCCGUUUGGCAAGUGAGUUUUUUGGGUGUUUGUAUAAAACUUUACUAAAUUUACUGUAGAAGUUUUUAAAAAAAUUUUUGAAAUAUGUUUUUUUUUUUGAAUAUUUUGAAGUAUAUAAUUUAAAAAUUUUGAGAAAUUUUUUGAGGUUACUGUAGUUAAAGUUUUUAAAAAACUUGUAGCAGACAAACUUGACAAAAUUUUGGCUGCCAAACAAGGCCUCAAUGUAAGGGAUAUAUUGAAGGUAAAUGCCUACAUUCAUAAUAUGGUAAAUUAAGUUUAGAUGUACUAAUGAGUGUCGUGGGGAACCGUUACAAUAAUCCUAUUAGAAAAAGGGCAGAAUUUUAUCCUCGGGAGAGCCUCGACAUCAGUCUAUCCUCAGACUUGGAGACAAUAAUUUAUAGAGUUAAAAAGUAAUAAAUUAUGAUAAGAGAAACUAUAAUGAAUAAUUUAACUUGACGGUCUAACUAUUGACAGGAAUUAGGUAAUGGACUUUUUACCAAGUAGGCCUUAAUAGCUUCAUGGGCCUUCAUCUAUGAAUCUCCAUUGUACUGGAAUGGUCACCCAAUGGUGUUGUCAGACACCUGUAACAAGGUUGGAUUGGUCAUAUUAUUUUUGCAUCAUCAAUGAAGUUUCCUAUAAACCGAUCAAUCGAACCAAAUUUGCUAUGGUUUUGUUGAUUUCUUUGUUUUUUUCGGGGUGCUUAACUCUCUCCUUAAGUUAGUUUGUGCUUUUUACUUUUAUCCUUCUUCUUUCCUACCCUUGAUGACCUCGACUUUAUAUUUGUUUGCCCCAUUUUUUAAAAAUUAAUCAAUGAAGAGAUUAAUUAUGUUUAAAUUCAAGAAAAGAUUUCCUUGAUUAAAUUUUCCUCCUUUUUUUUCCUGCUUCAUUAUUUUAUCUUUUUUGCAACUUCAAUCUUCUAUAAAAUCACUCUAAGUUUGUUUCUUUUCUUCAAAUUAGUAACAUUUUCCUCUUUAAAUCCUAAGGGAAGACCAUCCUUAAUUAAGGUCUACUCUUUUUUUUUUCCUCUCAUUAUUUUACCAUUUUUGUACUUCAUUUUUUUCUUAAAAUCUCUCUAGUUUAGUUUGUUUUCUACUUUCUUCUCGUGGAUUAUAAACCUUAAAUUGCUUUGUUCACAUUCUAUAGUGGAGAACCUCCAUAAAGUUUUCUUUUAUUUUUCAACUCCUCUUUCUUUCUUAAUCCUUCCUUAAUCUCUAUAGUAUUGGAUAAGACUAGGAGGAGUGUAUAUAUAUACAUGGAAUUAAUCUUUUAUAUUGAUAGUGUAUACAUUAUCACUAUUACAUGCAUGAUAAUUGAUUUGAAUUUGAAUUUGAAAUUUAAAUUUUAUAUAUGUAUCAUGUAUACAACUGUGAUAGUACACAGACAUAUACACAUAGCCACAUAGAUAUUGUUCAACAAUUAACUUUAAUUGUUUUGUAAAAAAAGUAUUAUGUUUUUAGCAAUAGUCCCUUAUCACAAAAAAUAGAAAUUAAAUAUUUGUAAAAGGUAUUUCACUUUCAUUUUCCUUUCUUUGUCCUUAUAAAUAUUUCCUCGUGAUGUUUAAAUAUCUAUUGAUAUUUUUGAUCAUAAAUAUUUUAUAGAAUAAAUUAUCUUAAGUAACUAAAUAUUUCAUUCAGUAAAAAUAACUUAUAUAAUUUUAUAGUUAUUUAUAUAUGCAGUUGUAUUACCAUUUCCUGGACACUACAAUGUUCUUUAAUAAAAAGAAGCAUAAUAAAACUAUUUCAUAAAAAUAAAACUAUCAAAGCAUUGUGGGUUGAGGAUAUGAUUGUGUUUUCACACCUCUCAUAUUGUAAGGCCCAAAAACAAUUUAAGAGGGGGUUUGAAUUAGGUUGUUUAAAAACUAAUCACAUUAUAGCAAAAUUUCACCCAAUUUUACUAACCAAGUUAACCUAUGUGAACACACUUUUAAGCCAAGAAAAAGCAAGGAUGGAGCACCGCACAAAAUAAUUAAAUGAAGAAAAAAGGAAAUAAAGUAAAAGAUAGACAAGCCAAUUUAUAGUAGUUCGGUCAAACUUUUUGGUGCCCAUGUCCACUCCCAAACUUUUUCAAACUUGGAAUUCAACCCACUAAGAGCUUCUUCCAAUAUUGGUGAAACAAACCAACUUAUACAAAAAAGGGCUCACCCUUUGCUCACACCAAAUUUCCCUACUCUAGUUGAGACAAAGGAUUUUACAAUUUUCCCUAAUUAACUCUUUUUAAACUACAAUUAAAUGCCUACAUAACCAAUGAAGAACUCUAACAAUUUUCAAUCUCACAAAGAUUACAAGUAUACUCACACUUAAGAGUAUUUUCCCUUGAAAUCACUCUUACAAAGUUUGUAGUCCUGUGGACAAAUGAUCCUAAAUGUUUCAGACUUUAAGGUACUUAUAGGAGCCCAAAAACUGGCCCAAAAUGCCCUCUAACGACUCUACAUUAAAUGCAAAAAAAAAAAAAAAAACCAUUAGGUAGUCCGGCUAGUGAAGAGGUGAUUCCUGUGUGGUCAAGCCGCGCUGAUAUGAUGAGGCCACCUGCUCGGCUGGGGUGUCGAGUUGGAGGAAUGCACCUGUCAAAUUCACUUUAGACGAGGAUUUAUCCCCCGGUCUAUCUCCGAUGAUCAAAUCAGUUCGGGUAUAUGUUUUUAAAUAAAAGGCAAACUCGACGUGUGAAUGCUUUCUGAUAGUGUGGUUCUCUUACUCUUAGUUUUGGUUCCCUGUUCAUGAUAGGGGAGAGAGAUAUUUAUAGGAGACAAGUUGGUGGGAAGGAUGAUGGAUUCCACUUCCCAAGGACCUGAUACUGACUGUGAUAUGUCUAGUCUUGAUGGAUAGGACGCAGCAAUGGUCGUGUCAUGUCAACGCCUUGUCAACUUGUCAUGUAGGGGUCAACCUUCUCAGAGGGAUGUCAGGCACCAGAACAUGGGCAGUGACCGAACCGAGGUAAUGCCACAAUUAGGGAGCUGACCUCGGCAGUGUAAAAUAAGUGAUAAGUCGAGAUUACUCAAGCCCAUGGAGGGUCGACCCAUAGGUCAAGUCGGGCCUAGUCGAGAUGACCGCCCUCAAUAGGCCCCCCAAGCCUUGAGGAUAGGGAGUUCAUCCUGCCUCCCGACCUGAGGCUUCCUCAUGAAAUAACCACAGAAUGUGGCACAUCCUAGCGUAAUGAGGCACCAAAUACGGACACAUAGGACAACAGGACGUGGUAUGAUAGGACGGUUAUUAGAUUGAAUGAUGGUGUUAGGACGUGGAAAGAAGCACGAAGCGAUUGUCAGACGAAUAAUCACGCAUUAAUGAGGAAAGAGGGGCCACGUCUUUUGAAAUUUAAACCUGCCGCCCAUUCGUCUUUCUUCGUCCCCUAUAAAUAGAGGGUCCUUUUCACCAUUUAUCCACAGUGAUAGAAUUACAGCAGUUAGACCAGAGCAAUCAACCGAGACUAAUUUGCAAUAGCCGACCUCAACCUUUCCUCAGAAAAGAGUAAGUUCAUUUAUUUUUUAAGUAUGGCCCGAGUAGCUCACACACAUAAGGAAACGGUGAGGUCAGACUUCGGAAGGGCAAAGGGGCCCAACCCGUCCGAGGAGAAAGACGGUACCUCAUCCAGUCCAGGAGAGGAGGCAGCCGAGGUAUCUCAGGAGGUCGGAGCAUCACAAGAAGCCGGUGGAGAGGAGUCCGAGGUCUUGUAUAACGACAGUUUUGGAUUCGAAGUGCCUCGUGAUGAAGGAGUGUUGGAGCCAGCAGCCCCGCCAGAUCUUACUAGGGUAGAUUUCAGCCAACUCCCUCUUUUUAGAAGGAAAGCCAACUCCCUCUUUUUAGAAGCACAGUUGGCUUGGCCGAAAUGAAUGCCGUGAUACGGAGGUAUCCUUUCCGGCAGGGCUACAACAUUUCUUCUCCCAGGCCAGACCAAUUGAUCGAAAUGCCUCCUAAGGGUAGAGUAACUGUUUACAUAGAUCAAUUGGAAGCCGGGCUGAGAAUGCCUACCAUGAGAUUUUUUCGGGACAACCUCAAGUAUUGGGGGGUAAGGGUCACUCAAUUGGUUCCUAACUCCAUCCGAAUCCUUGUCGGAUUCGAGAUGUUUUGCAGAGAAUAAGGAGUGACCCCUACUGUCAACUUCUUCCAUUGAUGCUACAUUAUCAAGAAUAGCAGAAAUGAAAAGGGUUGAUUCUAUUUCAACAAUAGGAAUACUAGUAUUCCUAAAUUGGUGGUAGACACCCCGUUCUCAAUAAAAAGAUAGAAGAACAAUUUUCCGGCCAAGGACUUUCCUAGUGGUUUCUGGUGGAAGCCACAUGACACUCCAGUCGAUCCCUACCCGGGCAAAUUAGAAGAGGAGAGUUUUCAGAAGAUAAUGGGGUUGGGUCUUCGGAUUAAUAGCUGGUUCUUUCUCGAGGCUGUACUCGUGGACGGGAGAAUCAACUGAACUCUCAUAAACUCCAACAAAACCCCUUACUUUUCAUCUAAGCUUGAUAAAUAUUGUAAUUUUCGUUUCAUAACUUUAUAUAUUUUUAACUGGUUUAAGUAAUAAUGCGUUUUCCUUGUGUAAUGGUGAAAGUGUCCAAUCUGAUUACUUUCGGAUCAAGGACCGUGGCGAAAAGACAAUCUAAGAGGAAAGCUAUGGUCGAGACGUCUGGCACAUCCAAGAAGAAGAGUACCUUGGUCACUAUGCUUUUCCCAGUAGGCAGUCAAGUUACCAGUGCUACGCCCACGACGGCAGCCGAGGAGGUUUCCAAGAGCUUGACCAUUUUGGAUGAAAUGGCAGCCCGAGGUGUUACUAUAGUCUAUAUCCCUCAUGGCCCAGAAAUAUCAAUUUAACCUUCCGACACACUGGUUCUAGGGUCUUCCUUAUGGAACUAAUACCACGUUUCCUCUCACUCCGCAAGGGAUAAUAAGAGACAUCCCGACGAACAUUGGUGUCCAGAAUGGAAGCUCAGUGUUAACGACCGAUGUCUAGAUCCUAGUUCGGUUGAGGACUUGCUGAUGCAUUCCACCCUACUAAGGGAUUUGAAUUACACCAAGAAACUAACUCUUUCCGAACUGCUGUAGAGUUCGGUCGUUGCAUGGGCUUUCACUUCAGUUUUCUUGGCCGAGCUGUCAAGAUGCUAUGGCUACCUGCUCGAUGCCUAUCAACCGACUACUGAGCUACAAGACAAGAUUUCUUUGUUGGAGAAGAAGUUGGUGGUAGUUGAUCAUGAACAACCCCGCCUUUGUGACAAGAUCAAGAUGUGAGCGAACAGGAUCAAUCCGUGGUCACUACCAAUUCACUCAGGACGACUCUUGAUGAGAAGUAGAAGAGGCGCCGUGAAGAAGAACAGUUCAAUCAAGCAGCAAUCGAGAAGGCUAGGACCUCGGCUAUGGAGGCAUUACUAAAAUCCGAGACCUUUACCAAAGAUCUUGACAAGCUGACUUUACCAAAUUUUAUAUUCCGUUAUACCUCGAUCGUAAAUGAAAUAGGCCCGUUGCUAUCUCAGGAGGACUUGGACUCUUUCAAGAACAAGGAUAGUUACAACAAGGAUGCUAAAGAACUCUGCGACCGCAUGACUAAGAGCAUCCAGGCUGGAAGAAAUUUGGUCGAGAUUUGAAAGCAGUUCAAUCAGUGGCUCUCCGAAUUUGAACUAGAGCCGAAGAAUGAAGAGCUGAGGACAGCCGAGGUGGGGGGAACUGUCGAAGAGGGAGAGAAUAAAGAAGGCGCCGAGGCAGGGAAUACUUAGAAGUAUCCCUGACCGCGGGCCUUUGUACUCGAAACAUCUUUGUAAUCAUUUGCUGCUAAUGAUAAUUUCAUUUAUUCUAUUCACCAUAAUAUUUGAUGCAUAACCCUCUACUUGUCCCCCUUAUUUUUUAACAACAUGAAUGAAGACGUUAAAAAAUAAUUAAUCAAUUUAAUCUGGUCAUAUAACGUUUGGAAACAUCAGCUAAUAUCUUGAAUCAUUACGAAUAAUAUAAUUUAAGAUUUUCGACAUACCAAUUUCUAGGCACUAGAGUGCCAUUUCGAUGUCAACUUACAAUAGCCAUUUUGGCUAGACUCGACAACUUGGUAUGGUCCCUUCCACUUGGGAGUUAAUUUGUCCUGGGGUUCGGAUUGAUUAAUCGAGUUUUUUGCAAAAUCAAGUCUCCCGAGUUGAAGUGAAGCUUGAUGCGGAUGUUAUAGUAACAAGUCAAAAUAUUUUUGUACAAGGCUACUUGGGCUACUGCAGCAUCUCUCUUCUUUUCGAUUAGGUCGAAGUCCAUCCCCUUUUCUUUUUCGUUAGUUUCCGCAGCGAAAGCGGCCAUUCGAGACCUUAGGGUGAGAAAUUAAGUGGGAACCACUAUCUCGGAUCCAUAAGUUUGAGAGAAUAGGGUCUCAUGUGUGGCCGACCAUGGAGUAGUUCGGUAAGACCAUAGGACACUGGGAAGAUCGUCCACUCACAAGGAUCCAGUUCGGUGCAACCCGGACUUGAGACCGGGCAGAAGAGUCCGAUUUAAGUUCUCUGCUUGAUUGUUGGUUUGGAGUUGCCCUACCGAGAUGAAGUGUUGUUUGAUUCCAAGAUUUUCGCACCACCCAUUGAAUGGGUUAUCGGCGAAUUGCUUUCCAUUAUCCGAAAUGACUACUUGAGGUACGACAAUAUGGUAGACAAUGCAUUUUCAGAAGAAUUUUUGGACAGCUCGGCCGAUUAUACUCUUCAAUGGUUCGACCUCAAUCCAUUUCGUAAAAUAAUUAAGUUUGUUUGGAUAAGAGUUUAUUUGGAUGAUUUAUUUGAGAUAAUUACUGUAGCACUUUUUGUGAUGUGAUGUAUGUUAGAUAAAAAGGUGAUUGGAAAGAAAAAAAGAUAGUUGAAAUUUGUGAAGUAAAUUUUUUUAUUUGAAAUCAAGCCAAACCAAACAAACUCAUUGAUGGCUAUGACCAAGAAGAUAUAAUUACCAGGAGCUCUAGGGAAGAGACCGAUGAUAUCUAUCCCAUAUUAUUCAAAAGACCAAAGUGACAUGAUGGGGACUAUGAAAUUAGUAGACUGAUGAUGUUUGGGAGCAUGGUGGUGGCAAGAAGGGUAACUAAAGACCAAAAAUUGUGCAUCCUGUCGAACUAAUGGUUAGAAAUAUCUGAGCAACAAAGCCUUCUUAUAGAGGGAGCCGUCACGGAGUGCAUAGCGAGUAGCUUUACGUUGAACCCUCUUCAUUUUAGCUCGAUCUUCAAGAAGGACUCAUUGACCCAAGAGUCUGACGAGAGGACUCAUCUAUGUGUCUUUCGAGUGAAUGAGAUAGGCUCUUUUUUCUAGAUAUCUCGGUUCAGUAAGAGCUUUCACAAGAAUUAUUUUAUUAAGUGUUGAAAAUAAGGUGGAAGUCAGCCGGGACAAAGCAUCGGUCUGCUUGUUUUGUGACCGAGAUAUUUUUUGAAUUUUGAACGACUCGAAAUAUGCGACAAGCUGGUGAAUCUUGGAGAGGUGCUUCUACAUUAUUUCUUAUUUGGCCUCAUAUUACCAAGAACUUGACAAAUCACGAGUUGGGAAUCACUAUUGAUCUGAAUGUGCUGAGUCUUAAGCUUACAGACUAAUUGCAGACCUGCGAUCUAAGUCUCAUACUCAGUUUCGUUGUUAAAUAACGAAAAGUUGAAGUGAAAGGUAUAUGAGCAUACCUCCCCAUAGGGAUCAACGUGAAGUAGCCCAGCCCCACUGCCAUUGCUGUUGGAGAACCCGUCCACUUAUAAUUUCCAUUGAUGUGAUAUGAAAGUAUCUGAGGAGGCGUCUUGGCCCACUGUAAAAGUAAACUCGAUCAAAAAGUCCACAAUAACUUGAGCUUUGAUGGUAGUUCGGGGUUCAUAAGAAAGAUCAUAUUCUCCUAACUCCACAGCCUAUUUGGUGAGACGUCCAGAGGCCUCGGUCCGAGACAAGAUUUGUCGAAUAGGUUGAUUCGUCCAUACACAGAUAGGAUGACUUAGAAAGUAAGGUUUUAACCGCUGAGUAGCAUGAACCAAAUCUAAAAUCAACUUUUCCAUUCGGAGGUACCGAAUUUUGGGCCCACGAAGGACUCUGCUAACAUAAUAGACAGGUUUUUGGAUAUUAUCGUAUUGUACUAAGAUGACACUUACUGCUUCCUUAACCGCGAUUAGGUAAAGGUACAGGAUUUUCCCUACCCGAGAUGAGGUGGUGCAGGAAGGUGAUGCAAAUAUUCUCCAUUUGAUCAAAAGCUUUUUGGCACUCCUUAGUCUAAGAGAACUUUUCAACAUUUUUCAAGACUUUAAAGAAAGGCAGUGCUCUCUGAGCGGAUUGAGACAAGAAGUGAUUAAGGGCAGCUAGUCGGCCUGUUAGUUCAUCUCAGAGGUUGGCAAGGAGCAACAUCCGGAUUGGCCUUUAUACCUCGAUGAGAUACGAGAUAACCGAGUAAUUUCUCCGAGGUAAUCCCGAAACGUAUUUCUUGGGAUUCAGCAUCAUUUGGGUAUUCUUGAAAAUUCCAAGGAUCUCUUUCACAUCGAAAAAGAAGACCACCGCAGUUCUGCUAUUGAGGAGAAUAUUGUCAACGUAUGCUUUCAUAUUCUGGUCAAUUUAAUCUUGAAAGAUCCGAUUCACGAGUUGCUGAUAUAUAGCCCUGGCAUUCUUCAAACCAAAAGGGAUGGUGGUGUAACAGUAAAUAUCUCGAUCGGUGAAGAAGACCGUCUUUUCUUGAUCCUCUUCACUCAUUCCUAUUUGGUGAUACCUUUAAAGGUAUCAAGGAAGUAGAGAAUCUCAUGACCCAUCACCGAGUCGACCAAAGUAUCUAUCCUCAGCAAUGGAUAGCAAUCUUUAGGGCAAGCCUUGUUCAGGUUGUUAAAAUUCAUACACAUUCUCCAUCCUCUGACUUCUUUCUUGAACAUUACGAGGUUAGAUGAGCAGGUCGGGUAUUGAAUUUCUUUUAUCAUUCGCGUAAGUAGUAGUUUAUCCAUAUUUUCUGAGAUGGUCUAGCUACGUUUAAGUCCAAAAUGUCUCCUUUUUGCUUAACUGGGCAUGCACGCGGUCAACAUUAAACUUAUGUAUCAUGAGAUGAUAAGGCACACCGACAACCUCUUCAGCUAUUCAGGUGAAGACGUCUCGGUGUUUCAUGAGGAGAUUAAUCAUGUUAUCUCGGAGGUGCGUGGGUAGGCUCGUGCCGACGCGAACAAUUUGAUCAGGUUUUUGUGAAUCCAGAAUAACUUUCUCGACCUCAUCUUCGGUCUUCAGUCGUUCAGGCUUUCCGAUUUAAUGCGGGCCUAUAAAAUCUAUAGACAAAAUACUCGAUCUCUGUCAGUUUAGAACUUGGCUCAAUCUGAUCUAGAUUAGCUUGCCGGUAGGUCAUCUUCCGAGAGUUUUGACUGUCUCUCUCUGUUGGAUCACUUACAAUAGUAUUGAUAAUCCCUGUUAUUUAGGUCCAUAAUCAGGAAAUCCAUCUCGGGGAGGCCUUUUUGACUCUCUAGAGUCUCUGGGAGCUCGACUGCUAUUUCUUGGCUCUCAUCGAUUCUCCCGAUGUUAAUCUCUAACUCACCGAUCUUAUUUUCUCCCCAGAUGAAUUGCCUUAUAGCUAGUUUGGGAGUUUAGGAAAGAAAAGAAAAGAACAGAAAUCUUAAGUUAGAAAAGAAAAGAAAAGAUUAUAAUAUCUUUUCAUGUUAUUUGGGAGUUUUGGAGAAGAAAGGAGAUGAAAUAACUUUCCUUUGUUUGGAAGGAAGAGAAUUGAAAAGACAAGAUUCAAUUUUACAUAAAAACCCUUAAAUCUUAAGAUACCAUGAGAAUUUUAUUAGGUUAUAUAGUUAUAUUUUAAUCUUUUAAGGGUAAAAAUGGCAUAUGGUAUAAUUCAUUUAACUCAUUCCACUUUCUCAUGUUUUUCGCCGAUUUUGGGCGGAAAGUUUUUUUGACGUGGAAGGGAGCUGACAUCCUUCUGUUUCUUUUCAAUUCUUUCCUACCCAAAGUCCCAAAUGUGAGAAAGAUUCAACUUUCCUUUGUAAUCUUUUCUUUUCUCACCAAAUCUGCUCUUCCAAACUAGGAGUUAGGUGUCUCUACUUGAUUAGAUUUUCUAUUUCUUUCUCCAAGUUAUUGCAAUCCUCGGUCUCAUUGUAAUCUAUCACGACGAGAAUAUACGACCGGCUUGUGUUAAGACGAGUUAAUUCGGAAUCAGGGAUAGGCUGUUUUCCUUUGGCGAUCCUGUCGAAAAUAUUUCGAUGGUCACGGGAGGAAUUUUGCACUCCACCGCCUGGUCCUUGUUCAUAUCGACCUGACUCUCUCUUGCUGCUAGGAUCUUGGCCUGUUCAAGUAGCCUGCGCUUCCCUCUUCAUGCGAUUUACAUCUUCACUUUGGAUGCUCUUAUCCACUUUCAGCCAUAGCUCUAAAGUGUUCGGGGAUACUCCUGAUGUAUUUCGAUAUUGAACACUCCCACCACUAGUCUAUUUGUAAAGACAGCGAUGGUGACUUAUUCAUUUGCAUCAGGUAUCUGCACAUUUUUCUCGUGGAAUCUCUGCACAUAUGAGUAUAGAAAUUCCCCUGGAGCUUGUUGUAUAUUCAUCAAGUAGGUCGAGAUUUUCGUCAUUAGUCUAGAUUAGACAAAUCGAUAGAUAAAUUUAUCCACGAACUUACCUAAUGAGAAAAUGCUCCUAGGUUCCAGACCCCAAAACCAUUUUCGGACAGUUCCUUGUAGAAAGACAGGAAAAGCCCGAUAGAUGAUGGAGUCAGGUACAUAGUACAACUUGAAAGCGAAAAUAAAAGCAUGGAGAUGAUCCUCUAGAUCACCUCGCCCAUCAUAAGAUUGCAAUACUGGAAGUUUAAUGUUAGGGGGAACCAUUUCCCCAUUUAUAUCAUCUGUAAAGGGUGGUGCCUUCAUAUAAUUCAGGGUCAAUCCUUCCGGACACCUAGACAUCUCACUGGGAUGUCUCCCAAGAAGACCUUGAGUGAAUGCUCUCGAAAGGGAGGCUAUUUUGGAGAUAAACCUGGAGGAGGCACGCUUGGAAGGACUUCUCACAGGGUGCCUAUUAUCUGACUCUUCUUUGAAGGGAAUUUCAGGAGAUUUGAUUGGUCUAUGCUUAGAAGACUCGGCCUUCUCCUUUCCUUAUCUCUUGAAGAACCUUUCCAGUUCUUCAAAGAUACCAGAAUUUUCAGCCACAAACUCAGCCAUCCGUGCAAGGGUUUCUUCGUUUGCGGGUUGGACAGUUUGAUGAGGUUCUUGACUUGCUUGACUGCCUUCCCGCUGGGCAACAGAGCUUGGCUCGGCCCCAGUAGGGGGAACUCUCUUACUCCUAGAGUGCAUGGAUUUCAUAUUGAAAAAUCUUGUCGCUUCUCACAGGCAACGCCAAUUGAAGAAGAGAUUCCUAUGUGGUCAAACCGCGCUAAUUUGAUGAGGCCACAUGCUCGACUGGGGUACCGGAUUGGAGGAAUUCACCUGUCAAAUUCAUUCUAGACGGGGCUUUAUCUUCCGGUCUAUUUCCGACGAUUAAAUCAGUUCGGGUAUAUGUUUUUAAAUAAAAGAUAGACUCGACAUGUGAAUGCUUUCUGAUAGUGUGGUUCUCUUACUCUUAGUUUUGGUUCCCUGUUCAUAAUGGGGAAGAGGGAUAUUUAUAGGAGACAAGUUGGUGGGAAGGAUGAUGGGUUCCACUUUCUAAGGACCUGACACCGACUGUGACAUGUCUAGUCUUGAUGGAUAGAAUGCAGCAGUGGUCAUGUUAUGUUAACGCCUUGUCAACCUGUCAUGUAGGGGUCGGCCUUCAUAGAGGGAUGUCAGGCACCAGAACAUGGGCAGUGACCGAACCGAGGUAAUGCCACAGUUGGGGAGCUGACCUCGGUAGCGUAGAAGAAGUGAUAAACCGAGAUUGCUCGAGCCCAUGGAGGGUCGGCCCAUGGGUCAAGUCGGGCUGAGCCGAGAUGAUUGCCCUCAGCUAGCCUAAGUCCCUGGGAGGUGGCUGAAGUCGCAAUUUUCAAUGAGAAUCAGAUUGCUUAGAAUAGCUGAAGCUCUUGAGAGGUGGGUGAAGUAGUGACUGAAAUCACAAUCUUCAAAUGAGUUGGAUCACUUAGGACAGUCGAAGUAUCUUUCUAACGCCCAAACUAGUGGCCGAACUCUUCAGGUGAUUUUUUUUCAAUAUACAUUUUGAACUGUCGAAUUUUAUUGCAAUGAUCGAAGUAGUGGUUGAAAAUUUUUUCAAAAUGCUUGGCCAAUUCCACUCUUUGACUUCGAAUGGCUGAGAGUAGGGCUGAAGAGGUAGCCAAUUAAGGCUGAUUUCAUGUGAACUUAGUUCCUUCUAAGGGUCGAAGGAGGCUAAAGAUGCCAAAAGUUGUGGCCGAAAAUGUUUAGCCAGCCGAUGAUUGUCUUAAGGCAUUCGAACAGGUUCUUUUGCAUUCUUCCUAUUUUUGCGACAGCUACACUUUAAUGAUUUGCAAACAUACUCAACACCCAAUGACAUUUGCAAAACAUGUCAUGAAUACCAUUAAAUCAUCAUUGUUAAUUUGUUAUCACCAAAACUAGAAAGUUCAAAAAAGAUUAGUUAACACAUACAUAGGAAAUCUAACCCAUAUGUUUGAUGGUUUAUUUGCAGGGGGUAAACUGUAUAUUUUCUAAUUAUAGGAGAUGAUUUGCUACUCAACUCAUAUUAGAAUGGAGGCAACUUGUGAUUGAGUCUAAUGUAAAUGAUACACUUUUAGAGAGAUAAAACAUCAAGUUUUGCCUGUAUUUGAAAGGUAGGAAGUCUCCAAAAUCCAACCUAACUGGUGAUGGUAUUAAUCAGGUGAUCUUGAGAUCCUUGUUUUGACUCAAAGUCUUUCUCUUUUCCACUUUUUUUCUUAUAAAGUUUGAAGUCUCCCCUUGGACCAAAAAAAAAAAAGGUUUACUUCUCAAUUAACUUUAAAAAAAAGAAAGAAAGAUGCUCUCAGCUGAAUUGGGUGGCCCUUAAUAGGUUAUUUAAUGUGCUUUUUGGGCUUGUCUGGCUUGGCAUUUUUAGGGUUGGCCCAUGAGUAAGACUUUUUAAACCCAAGAAGAAGGACCAAGAGGAAGCCAUAUUCAUCUGUUGUGCACUUUUCUAUUUUCAUCUUCUCUACUAAGAUUAGAAUAAAGUCGGCUAUAAUCAAUUAGUAGCACAUAAAAACAGCGACACUUGCAUUGCCGAUAAAUAGGUGAUUAAAUAUAGUAUGGGGAGAUUAAGAGAUGGUAAAAGAAGUGUUAUUGACCUUCAGAUUAAACAUUAUUAAAUAUUUAAAAUUUAAACUAUAGUCUUUAGUUAGAGAUGCAAGUUGAGAUAGUGGUCCCCAAAAAGAAAAGAAUUUUCCUAUAGGUAUGGUGGUGUGGCGGUACAUUUGAUUUUGAAUUGUAUGUAAAAGUCCUUUAAUUUGUAUUUUGUUUACGUGAUGGUAAAUCUUAUAUGUAAGAUUCAAGAGCUCCAAUUUGACAAUUCUAAACGAAAAAAGAUACUAAGAGCACAUUUUGUUAAAGGUUUACCACUACUGCAUGAGUUUUAUAGAACAUAAUACACGAGCAUUCCAACUACUCAAUGGGGCAUACCCAAUUUAGGUAAAGCCCAAUCAAACUACUUGAUUGGUCUAGGGUUGUAAGUUGACCAAACUACUUGACUCGGGUUGAUGUUGAUUGAGUUCGAGUUGAGUUCGAACUGUUCGAUACCUUGUAAGCUCGAUAAGUCUAAUUGAGCUUCUAAUAUAAAUGUUUGAUUAUAUUCUUUAUUUAAAAUUAUACAUAAAAUAUUCAUUCUUAUUAAGUGAGCUCGAGUAGGCUUACAUACACUGGAUUGAACUCAAUUAGACUUAAGUAGGCUUUAGUUGAAUUGACACUCAAGUUCAGGUAAGGUAAACUAAAAUCAAACUCAAGUUUGAGUUCAACUUCUAAAAGUUCAUUGAGCUCAAGUUCAAGAUUGAACUCAUUUAUGAUGACUCAAGUCAAGUUCAAACUCAACUCAAAAGCACCUCUGGCUACGUCGAAGUCAUCUUACUUUGAUUUUUAUCUUUUUAGUACAUAGGAAGACUACCGUCCAUUAGCUUAGUGCAAAACGUGGCAAAGCAACAUUUUCCAGAUUACGUUCCGACAAGCUUCUAAUCCCAGCUAGCGGUUCAGCAAAUCAUAUCUAGCCCCUGGAAUUCUACACACAAGACACAGGAAAGUCAUUAUCUUCCAAUGGUUUAUUUGCAGGGGGUAAUUUGUAUAUUUUCUAAUUACAGGAGAUGAUUUGCUACUCAACUCAUAUUAGAGUGGGGCAACUUAUGAUUGAGUCUAAUGUAAUUGAUACACUUUUAGAGAGAUAAAACAUAAAGUUUUGCAAGUUUCUGAAGGGUAGAAAGUCUUCAAAUUCAACUUAACUGGUGACGGUAUUAGUCAGGUGAUCUUGCGAUCUUUGUUUUGACUCAAAGUCUUGCUUUUUUCCACUUUUUUCUUGUUGGACUAAAAAAAAUAGUUCACUUCUCAACUGACUUUAAAAAAUAAAAAAAAAAGUAAAAGAUGUUUCUUAGCUGGCUUGAGUGAGCCUUAACAGGUUAUUUAAUAUGCUCUUUGGUCUUGUCUAGCGCGGUAUUUUUAGGGUUGGCCCAUGAGUAAGACUUUUAAACCCAAUAAGAAGGACCAAGAGGAAGACAAUAUUCAUCUGUUGUGCACUUUUCUUUAUUAGUUAAUUUUUGACAAAUUUUCAUCUGUUCUGCUAAGAUUGAGAUUAAAGUCUACUUGGCGAUUCCAAUUAGUAGCACAUUAGAACAAUGUUGGGUAGUAGGUGAUUAGAUAUAGUAUAGGGAGAUUUUACCAUCCAUUUUUGGUAUCAUACUCCCAAGUAAAAUUCAUCAUUAGAUGGUAAAGAAGUGUUAUUGACCUUUAAAUUAAACAUUGUUAAAUAUUUAAAAUUUAAACUAUUAUCUUUGGUUAGAGAUGCAAGUUGAGGUAAUGGUAUCCAAAAAGCAGAAUUUUCCUAUAGGUCCGGUGGAAUGGCGAUACAUUUGAAUUUUGAACCGUAUGUAAAAGUCCUUUAGUUUGUAUUUCGUAUAUGUGAUGGUAAAUCUUAUUUGUAAGAUUCAAGAGUUCCAAUUUGAUGAUUCCCAAAGGAAAAAAAAAAACUAAAUUAGAGUACAUUUUUUUAAGGUUUACCUCUACUGCAUAAGUUAUAUAGAGCAGAAUACACGAACAUUCCAACUACUCAAUGAGGGGAUACCCAGUUUAGGAAAGCCAGAUCAAACCACUUGACCAAACUACUUGAUUGGUCGAGGGUUGCAAGUUGACCAAACAACUUUACUUGACCUUGACGUUGAU